AGCAGCCGCGGUAAUUCCAGCUCCAAUAGCGUAUAUUAAAGUUGUUGCAGUUAAAAAGCUCGUAGUUGAAUUUCGGGAUUUGUCAGUUGGUCGGGCUUCACUGUCCGUAUUGACUUGAUGGAUUCUUACCUUCUGAAUAACCAGCAUGCUAUUAAGUUAGUGCGUUGGGGAAGCAGAUCUAUUACCUUGAAAAAAUUAGAGUGCUUAAAGCGGGCUAGUGCUUGAAUAGAUUAGCAUGGAAUAAUAAAAUAGGACGGCAUGGUUCUAUUUUGUUGGUUUCUAGGAUCACCGUAAUGAUUAAUAGGGAUAGUUGGGGGCAUUAGUAUUCAAUUGUCAGAGGUGAAAUUCUUGGAUUUAUUGAAGACUAACUUCUGCGAAAGCAUUUGCCAAGGAUGUUUUCAUUAAUCAAGAACGAAAGUUAGGGGAUCGGAGACGAUCAGAUACCGUCGUAGUCUUAACCAUAAACUAUGCCGACUAGGAAUCGGACGAUGUUAAUUUUAUAAUGACUCGUUCGG
rnacentral:rRNA from 1 species